AUUGAACGCUGGCGGCAGGCUUACACAUGCAAGUCGAACGGCAGCACGGGAGCAAUCCUGGUGGCGAGUGGCGAACGGGUGAGUAAUGUAUCGGAACGUGCCCAGUCGUGGGGGAUAACGUAGCGAAAGCUACGCUAAUACCGCAUACGAUCUGUGGAUGAAAGCGGGGGACCGUAAGGCCUCGCGCGAUUGGAGCGGCCUAUAUCAGAUUAGGUAGUUGGUGGGGUAAAGGCCUACCAAGCCGACGAUCUGUAGCUGGUCUGAGAGGACGACCAGCCACACUGGGACUGAGACACGGCCCAGACUCCUACGGGAGGCAGCAGUGGGGAAUUUUGGACAAUGGGCGCAAGCCUGAUCCAGCAAUGCCGCGUGCAGGAUGAAGGCCUUCGGGUUGUAAACUGCUUUUGUACGGAGCGAAAAGGCUCUCUCUAAUACAGGGGGCUCAUGACGGUACCGUAAGAAUAAGCACCGGCUAACUACGUGCCAGCCGCCGCAGUAAUAC
rnacentral:rRNA from 1 species